UUAUAUGCAAAUGUAACUUGAAUAAGAAUGCGAAAAUUAGUAACAUGUCUCUCUCAUACAUAGGACCUACAUCCAAAUAUCAGGCACGACGUCUGGGACGGCGUUCCGAGGGUGCCUGUGGCGUGGUCCAGCCAUACCUAUGAGGUGGCACUACGUUGCGCAGAGGAAUAACGGACCCAUCCUCACGAUACUGUGUAUCCUCCUGUGUGGGGUCUGGUGGCGGAGUACUGAACAUCUAGCUGUGUUGGACAGAAUAGUCCUCUCCUUGAGCGUGAUCCUGCUCACUACCCCACGAGGGUUCGGACAACGACGACU
rnacentral:lncRNA from 1 species